rnacentral:sRNA from 1 species
GCCGGGUGCAGCAGCGCAUGCCUGUAAUCCCAGCGGCUGGGGAGGCUGAGUCAGGAGGAUCUCGAGCUCAAAGCCAGCCUCAGCAAUGGCGAGGCACUAAGGAACUCAGUGAGAUCCUGUCUCUA